GGUAAUACGGAGGGAGCUAGCGUUGUUCGGAAUUACUGGGCGUAAAGCGCACGUAGGCGGCUACUCAAGUCGGGGGUGAAAGCCCGGGGCUCAACCCCGGGACUGCAGGGGAUACUGCGAGGCUUGAGUCAAGUAGAGGUUGGUAGAAUUCCGGGUGUAGCGGUGGAAUGCGUAGAGAUCCGGAGGAAUACCAGAGGCGAAGGCGGCCAACUGGACUUGUACUGACGCUGAGGUGCGAAAGCGUGGGGAGCGAACAGG
rnacentral:rRNA from 1 species